rnacentral:ncRNA from 1 species
GAGGUGAUUAAUUGGAGGGCAAAUCAAGUGCCAGCAGCCGCGGUAAUACUUGUUCCAAGAGUGUGUAUGAUGAUUGAUGCAGUUAAAAAGUCCGUAGUUUAUUUUUUUAAGAAGCAAUAUGAGGUGUACUGUAUAGUUGGGAGAAAGAUGAAAUGUGACGACCCUGACUGGACGAACAGAAGCGAAAGCUGUACACUUGUAUGUAUUUUUUGAACAAGGACGUAAGCUGGAGGAGCGAAGAUGAUUAGAUACCAUUGUAGUUCCAGCAGUAAACUAUGCCGACGAUGUGAUAUGAAAUGUUAAUUUGUAUUACAUAAUAGAAAUUUGAGUUUUUUGGCUCUGGGGAUAGUAUGAUCGCAAGAUUGAAAAUUAAAGAAAUUGACGGAAGAAUACCACAAGGAGUGGAUUGUGCGGCUUAAUUUGACUCAACGCGAGGUAACUUACCAAUAUUUUAUUAUUUUGAGAGAACGGUUUUUUGUUUGAGAAUGAUAAUAGUGGUGCAU